CCUUGUGCCAGCGGUUGCAUUGGCAAAUUUGUUCAUUGCACUGGCUAGCCCAGGGGA
rnacentral:pre_miRNA from 1 species